rnacentral:rRNA from 1 species
UACAGAGGUCUCAAGCGUUGUUCGGAUUCAUUGGGCGUAAAGGGUGCGUAGGCGGCGCGGUAAGUCGGGUGUGAAAUCUCGGAGCUUAACUCCGAAACUGCAUUCGAUACUGCCGUGCUUGAGGCUAGUAGGGGUCACUGGAACUGACGGUGGAGCGGUGAAAUGCGUAGAUAUCGUCAGGAACGCCAAUGGUGAAGACAGGUGACUGGGCUAGUUCUGACACUGAGGCACGAAAGCGUGGGGAGCGA